rnacentral:lncRNA from 1 species
GAGCAUUUCUAAAUGACUUGAAGCUCUGUCACGGCAUAAUCUCUUAUAAAUAAAUGUCAGUGUAGUCACUGAAUGCAGACUGGAUUUUUGCCUGACUACGGUGCUCAGCCUUCUAGACAAUAGUUAUGCUAAGGGAUUAUCUUUUAACAUUGUGCAGUUAUCUCCUUUGUUUGUUUUCUUUUUUCAUUAUUCACAUAAGCCAAGGGAAAUGAAAAGCAUCUUAUUUCAGGCAAAAAGGCCUGUGAAUGAUUAACUCUGGUUCCAUGCGUUGGGACUUUGCAUAGCAACCCCGUGGCUUGCAACGACAAAAAAGCUCAAGGCAGGAACAGCAGCCCAGGGACCUGAGACCAGCGUUCUCAAAUGAAGGUGAUCUGCUGUUAGAGGAGAAUUCUUCUGUCCUAGCUGUGUCUCUGUGAUCUGUGGAUGAGGGUGGGAAAGCACCACUCAGUCAAUUGGGGUGUACAAAAUGGAGUUUGAGAAGGUCUCACAUCCAGGUUGUUUUGAAGCAAAGUCCAAGCAUUGUAUCACUUCAUCUGCAAAUAUUUCAAUAAGUACCCAAAAGUGGUUGGACUGAGUCCCAUGAAGCCAGAUCACUUCUGACUGCAAGGAGCUUGGAAAAGCAAGUAUCUGGAUCUUUUACCAGCUAAAUUUGGAGAAUUAUUGAUCAAAUUUGGAUCUCUGUGUGCUGUCCUCCAAUUUAAUACUUUCUGUGUUGCUGUUUUAUUUUCUUUCUUCUGGAACCUGGCAAAGUGCGUCAAGCGAUGAGGCUUCCUCUUUGAAGAUCACAGGUGAGAAGAUUAGGUGCUUUCUCAGAAGCCCAGCAACCUGAUGGGAGUGUGGAGUGAGCAAGACCCAAAUCGGAGCUUCAUCCCUGCAUGGUUCAUUUUGCUUAUUUGGCAAACUUGCCCUGCAGAAUCUACUCAAGCUUCCUCAGUUUCUCAAAUCAUUCUUGGGCAACAAAUGAACAAGAAAGAGGACGUCUUAUUAUCUGGUGUCUGGCUUGCUGAUUUAAUAACCUAGGAGACAGUGUUUGAAGAACACAAACUCUAAAGUCCUUCACUUAAAAAAAAAAAAAAACUUUCCCAAAUUGCUUACCAUUUGGAAAAAUUGCCUUACCUUCUUCAGUCAUCUCUGAUGUUGUCAUCCUCAGAGUAAGAAGUACGCAUUCAUAAGGAACCAUAACGUCCUUCAGGAAAUCCAGUACACCCUACAAUUUUACCUAAAACUUUGAUGUUGUUUUUUCUGAGCAUUUUACCUUCUAGGGAAAUGGAUCUCAUGCUGUUUAUCAGUUUCUGAAAGUUGUUAUUAAUCUCCCCUCAUCCCAAAAUUGAAGAACUUUGCUUAAAUCUUAGAAUCAGAACUUUGGCUCCAGUAAUAAAGACUUUUCAAUAUCUUUAUCUGCCAUUGAGUCUUACCUAACGAAAUAAAGCCUCCAAAGUGGGAAUUUGAAA